GGGAUUCAGCUGGUUCUGUCUAGAUCUUGUGAACCGGUAGAGGUGACUGCAGAAGGCUCUGCCCACCCGCCCGGACGUAAUGUGUGACUACUGCGCAUGCAGUACGCUUACAUUUGCGAACCAGUAGGGAAGUGGGAUGAAACUGGAGAAUGAACUCAUAUGUCCAAGAACUUUAAGAUGUGCCAAUCACUAAAAAGAUAAAAUGAAUGUUUAAGUGAAGUGGCUAAUUCUGUUGAAUGCUGUUGCCAGUAGUUCAGCAGUUCAAUUCUCACUGGCUCAAGGUUGAUGCAAGGUC